rnacentral:tRNA from 1 species
AAGAAAGUGGCAGAGCGGUUAUGUGGUCGGCUUGAAACCGACCUUUGGGGGUUCGACUCCUCCCUUUCUCGU